rnacentral:tRNA from 1 species
GAAAAUGAAAUCCUUGAAGCUGCUAACUUUAAGUUUUGCAAUUUUGUAACAUUUUCU